GCCUGGGUAGCUCAGUAGUAGAGCAUUUCCCUGAAGAGGAAGUGGCCGGCAGUGCGAUUCUGCCCCCAGGCACCC
rnacentral:tRNA from 3 species